AAUAAUAAUAAUAAGAAGUUGGAGAGAGACAAAGAGGAAGAGAAAAUAGUUAGGGCUUAUCGGAAGUUGCAGGAACUUAUCGUUCGCGAACGACUUUGCUUCUUCUCCUUUCUUUCACUCGCUCGCUCGAUCUCUUUCUCUAAAGAGGGAGACUAACGGAAUGCAAUGGAUGAAACUUACUCGGAACUGGGGGGAGCUUAGUGAAGUGUGUUUUCGUAGUAUUGGCUUGAUGUUUAUUAAGCAAGUCAAACUGCUCAUGAUUGACCAAAAUCCUAUAUUUCGUGAGUUGGUUGUUGGGGAUGUCUUCUGAUACUGCAAAAGAAAAUGCAUCUGUAGUCGAUUCAUCAGUGACUGAAUGGAAACAAGAUAUGGGAAAUUCGGAUGACCCAGAGAGCUUUAGUUACAAAGGUAAUGAGGGCAGCUACCCAUCAAGGGCGGAGAAAGCAGGGAACUCUUGUGAUCUACUUGGGAUUUCAACUACUAACAAAAAGGGUAGAUUGUACAAUACAAGAUAUUUCAUCAUUAAGAGUUUGAACCAUCAUAACAUCCAACUCUCAAUUGAGAAAGGAAUUUGGGCUACUCAAGUCAUGAAUGAACCUAUUCUUGAAGAAGCCUUCCAUAACUCUGGUAAAGUAAUUCUUAUAUUUAGUGUAAACAUGAGUGGCUUCUUCCAAGGGUACGCCCAAAUGAUGUCUUCUGCUGGUUGGAGGCGAGACAAUGUUUGGAGUCAAGGAAAUGGCAAAAGCAAUCCCUGGGGGCGCAGCUUUAAGGUCAAGUGGCUGUGUUUAAAUGACUUACCUUUUCAAAAGACUCUUCAUCUCAAGAACCCAUUGAAUGACUACAAACCCGUCAAAAUUAGCCGGGAUUGCCAGGAGUUAUCUCCAGAUAUUGGAGAAGCUCUCUGUGAGCUUCUUGAUGCGAAGAGUGAUGUGGAUGACUCGCUGAGUAGUCUUUACAGGAACGAUCUUCCUUCGAAAAGGCUUUGUGUAGAGUCUCCAUGUUCGUUAGGGGAUGAAGACUAUAAUGUGCCUCAAAUGCAUAUGUCAUGGUCCAGAACACCCAUCCUUUAUCCUUCACUGCUGUAUCCACAUCAGGUUGAAGCAAAUAGAAUUCAUUUAGCAAACCAGAGUUCUACAGGGGUUACUUUUUCUAAAAAUUCACCUAUGACUACUGGUGCAUCAAAAGUUGAAAGGAUGAAACGUUCCCACAUUAAUGGAGACUUUACCAAUUUACGAGUGGAAAUGGAUAUGUCUCCUCGUUUUGAUAGUUGGGGUUUGUCAGCAGAAAGCCCGCAUGCUAGUACUCUGACAGAGGAUGAUUUCCUUGAAAUGUCUUAUGAAGAAUAUCUGGAGCAUACCAGAAGCAGCAAACAGUUAUGCCUCCCUGUCAGUAUGGUUAUCUUACUACAUUUCACAGAUUUUUAUCUCCUUUUAUUUCUAAUUAGAUGCUCAUAUUAUUAUUUUAAGACUACUAUAUACCUUCCGUGUGGUGACAUGUCUAUUGAGCAUGAUUUAUAAUAUGGACCUACGCACAUUGUCUCUCAUACCUUUUUUGGAUAAUUAAAGUGUCCUGUUCGUAACUUAUGCGGUUCUGUUUUUAUCAUUCUAGAGAGUUAUUAUGGUUAUUGUGGAUAAAUAUCAGUGCAGUAGUGAUUUAUCCACCAUCUGAUUUUAAACCAAGAGGUAUCUUGGGGCCUAUCAGUUGGAUGUUCCGAAUCAUGAUGUGAGCGGAGCCUAAAUAGCAGUCACCGGAGCUGUUCCAACCGGACAUAUCUCUUGACUCAUUCUAUUGUUCUGAAAAUAAUUAGAAUCUAGUCAAGCGGGACAGGUGGGUGGACCAUCCCGAUGGUCAAACAAUCCUAAACCGAGUCAUUACUACUGUCUGACAGGUUGCUGGACCGUCUGGGAAAAUGAAGGAGUCAUCAAGAAGCAAAAAGCAUGAUGAAAAUAUAAAUUCAAGCUCUAAAGCUGACCAGUGUUGCUCACGUAAGAGGACUCAUUGUUCAUCUCAGAAAUAAUCGCUUCUUUGAUGUAGGAAAGCUUCUUUCUCUCUCCGGAAGGUGUUGCUGUUUUCAGGAGUUUCGCCAUUUCCUGCAAGGCAAUGACCAGUGAAGUUAUUUGUUCUUUCCCCAAAUUGGGACUCGAUAUGUUGUUAUGUUGUAUAAAAUCGUACUAUAACAUAAAAUCUCGUAACGGGACUUACUGGGGGCUGGUUGCCAACUUGUACAUA